AGCGCUAGGGGAGCUAUUGCUGAGAACCCGAUAGAUAUCGGGGACCCUUACACCUGAACCGGGUAAUGCCGGCGUAGGAAAGCAAGGA
rnacentral:ncRNA from 1 species